GAUACCGAAGUGGCUGAGAACCCAAAAGCUCAAGCUGAGCUGUUGAGUGGGGUCUGCUGACACGGUGGUGCCUGUUGAUACCCAGCACUGCUGCUCUUGUGGCAUCCUGUGGGAAAAUGUGGGAUCUGUCCCCUCCCCAGACCCAGGGUGCUGCUCACCCUCCUGGAGCCAGUCAGGAGGUGACAGCCCCAUCCUCCCCUCUCCUCUCAUCCAGGCUGUCAGAUCCAAGUCAGGGGAUAGGGAAAACGUGGAGAAACCUCCCGUGUGGUGCUCAUUGAUGUGGUCCCAAGACUACCCACCCACAACCUGCCUGUCUCUGAUUUGCUGACAUUAUCCCAAGGUCACAGUCCUCUGCCUCUGAUAUCACCAGCUCUCACUGCAGAAAGGGUAAUGAAUGGGCUGUUAGAGAAGAUGGAAAAAAGAGGUAAAAUGAAGGAGAAAAGAACUUCUGGUUGGAGCCAGACAGGACAGACAUUGACAACCAGAACUCAUGGCUGCACACAGCUGUGGUUCCCACCUCUCCCUUGCUCCCUGUAUGGAUUUUGCUGCCCAUCUCACCACUUCUGAGCAAUAUUAUUUAAAAAAACUCCAUCACCUGAGUGGCAACCACUCUCCUGCCUACCCAACAGUGCCCUAUAAACACAGGCCUUAUAAACACAGCCUGCAAAAUGCUCAGUGGAGUUUCUGCACUUGCAACAGGAGCCCAGGGCAGGGAUGAAGUCACCUUGAACAGAAUUCCCCCCAAAACCCCUGAUGGGGUUUCAAACCUCUGAUUUGGGCUUUGUCAGAUACAAACCAGAGCAGAAAGAUCUCUUAGACAGAAGGAGCAGGGACUUUCUGUGUGAGACAAAGGAAGGAAAGCAGGCUGGGGGUGGCUGUAGUUAACACUUCUGCUCCUGAAGGGCUUUCAGACCCUGCAGCCAGGUGUGCUCAGAGACACCCACAUGCCCUAUUUCAGUCAACAUCAACUACAAAACUCCUGGUGUCCAAAUUUAGACUGGAAUCCAAAACACAUGAGGGACAAGUUAAUUCUGCCUGUGAUAAAAGGGAGGGGGGAGGCUGGCCAGCAGAGUUUGCUGUCGUUCCAGUAGCAAGUGGAAAGGAAAGGCAAGGACUAUCCCCAAAGGAGGCCUAAUCAGGCCACAGAAUCACAAUUCGGGUUUCCACUUGGCAGGAAAUAUGUUAAAGCUAAAUGGAUUUCCUUUGGUAAAACAGAAGCUUAACUGAGACAACACAGUAUUUUAACACACUUUUAAAGUAAUAAAAAUUGUUGUUGAGGCUCUGCAAAAAGCCAGAGCAGCAGGUUCUCCCAAACCAAACCAUAUUCCAGAACGACAUGUUAUGCAAGGAGCAAAAAACCAGGCAAAUGACAGAACAAUGGGUAAAGAGAUGAAAGGGCAUUUAUAGAUAAAUUGGGAUUUGUAAAUAUUAAAUUGAUUUAAUAUUUAAAUUGAUUAAUUAAAUGAAGUCUUAAUGGACUUGCAUUCUCUGCCAAUAUAUUUACAAGGAAAAAGGAUUAACAAGGAUUUUGGCACAAAGGCCUCCAUCUACAGUUCAGUUUUUCAGGAGGGCCUGUUCUUUGUAAAAAAACAUUUAUGUGGGUAGUCUAAAAACUACUGUGGAAAAUCCAUCUCUCACACAGAUGCUGACUUGUGAAAUGUUUGCUUUUUUGCUUUCUGUGAUCACCAGGGCCUGAGAUCUGCACCACUGUUCUGAGGUCGAUUCUGCCUCUGGAAGGACUGUUUAAAUGCCUUAUUAUGGAAUGAUAUAGAUGUGCUUGGCUUUACUGUUGAUUUCCAACAGGUUUAUGUGAAUAAUUGAUUUUUCCCUGUAUUGCCAAAGGAGAAAACUUAGAGGGGGAAUCAGAAUAUUAAAUAAAAACUGUUUAUCAUGUUUUUUCUAACUCAAAGCCAUGCUUUGCUUAGUUUUGUUUUCUCAUCAGUGUUAGUCCACUGCAAAUUCAUUGGAAAAGUGAACAGCUCUUUUAAUAAUUGU